UACGGGGGGGGCAAGCGUUGUUCGGAAUUACUGGGCGUAAAGGGCGCGUAGGCGGCCUUCUAAGUCAGACGUGAAAUCCCUCGGCUCAACCGAGGAACUGCGUCUGAUACUGGAAGGCUUGAAUCCGGGAGAGGGAUGUGGAAUUCCAGGUGUAGCGGUGAAAUGCGUAGAUAUCUGGAGGAACACCGGUGGCGAAGGCGGCAUCCUGGACCGGUAUUGACGCUGAGGCGCGAAAGCUAGGGGAGCAAGCGGG
rnacentral:rRNA from 1 species